GAUCAGAAUUUAAGUCAGACUUUUUUUAUCUGGGAGAAGACUCCACGAAGCAUGGGCAGCAGAAAGGCGGAAUGAGAAAGAAAAGAGAAGGAAGCUAUUAAAUGUGCCUUAUCAUGCAGAAUACCGCUAUGGGCAACUGGGUUCAAUCCCCAGAGGAAUUCUGGGAAACUGUGUAGAAGGUACCUCAGAAUGGCCCCUCAUCAAGUAGAGCAUCUGAAAUUUGAGCUACCUUCUGGAUCAUCUGUGUAAGGAUAAUGGGUGCAUGAGUUCUAGAUGAUGGCUACACCACAGCCAGCAAGUCCUUCGGAGAAAGAGUUACAACAUCUUCAAAAGGUUGCAAUGAGAUAAUCUCAGAGUGUGGACUUAGAGUUUCUAUGAAACAUGGUCAAGGCGUAGUGAAGUAAAUUCACAUAUGCUGUCUGAUUCCUCAUCCUUGGUUUAGCAUUUUUAAUCAGUGGUUUUCAUCUGCUGAUCUCUUCUUGCUCCUGACUAUUGUACCAUCUUUCUCUGCUGACCCAGUGAAAAAGCAGUUCUAAGUUGCUAAUUAAUAAGGAAAGAAAGCCUGCAGGGCUGGGCAGGCCACUAUGCCAGUUCCAAAAUUUGGAAGCAGCCACGUUUUGUUUAUCAGAGAGAGAUAUUAUUCCUUUUACAACUGGAAAUUCUCAUCCCUCAAGGCCUGUAGUGAGAUUGUUUUGGUGGUUUGAUGGUCAUCAGGGACUCAGGCUCCUUCUGUUCUUUUUUCUUUCUUUCUUUCUUUUUUUUUUUAAGAUUUUAUUUAUUUAUUUGAGAGGUAGAGAUCACAAGUGGCCAGAGAGGCAGGCAGAGAGAGAGAGAGGAGGAAGCAGGCUCCCUGCCGAGCAGAGAGCCCGAUGCGGGGCUCAAUCCCAGGACCCCGGGAUCGCAACCUGAGCUGAAGGCAGAAGCCUUAACCCACUGAGCCACCCAGGCGCCCCUCUGUUCUUUUUUUACCAUCUUAUACAUGACCCAAAUAACCUCUUGGUCCAAGAUGGCUGAUAAAACUCAAGCCAUUACUUCCAGGAAGAGAGAAGGAUGAGAGGAUCCUCCCAGCAGAAUCAACUCUCCCUUUAAGCAGCCAUCCCUCAAAUUCAAUGCAACACUCUAAUGAAUAGAACUUACUUUGUCAGAGAGGCUGAAAGAUAAUUUGUUAGCUAGGUACAUAGCCAUCCCUCAAAAAACCUGGGGUUCUCUUAUUCACAAAGAAGGCAAGAAGAUACAGGUUAAGCACCUAACAGUAUAUGCCAUGCUGCAUUUGUUUUACUUUAAAUAAACUAAUAUUUCAAAAAAUAAACUUUUAAGAGAUAGACUCUAUUAUGACACUGAAGAUGUUAUCAGAAACCUAAUGUAAUGUAGAUCUAUAUCUUUAAUGAAACAAGUACUUCUCUUUUUUUUUUAAUUUAUCUUUUAAAAAAAUGUUGUUUAUUUAUUUGACACAGAGAGAGAGAGAGAGAGAACACAAGCAGGGGAGCAGCAGGGAGGGAGAAACAAGCUCCCUACUGAGCAAAGAACCUAACGCGGAGCUCAAUCCCAGGACCUCAGGAUCCUGACCUAAUCAGGAUCAUGGCCUGAGCCAAAGGCAGAUGCUUAACCAAUUAAGCCACUGGGUGCCCCUAAAUUUAUUUUUUUAUUUAUGUUUUUAGUAAUCUCUACACCCAACAUGGGGCUUGAACUCAUGACCCCAAGAUCAAGAGUUGCACAUUCUUCUGUUUGAGACAGGCAGGUGCCCCAAAACAAGUGCUUUUCAUAUUUGUUUCACUGUGUCAGUUUCUACCAUAUAUGUGGAUACAAUUUUGCUCAGAAGUGUAUUGCAAAUAUUUCAAACAUAGAUGUUGGAAGACAGAGUUUCUCUAAAUGUAUUUUCUGAUGUCUAAAGUCAUAAUACUUACAGAGUCAGGUAGGGAUGGAGGCAAAUUGCUCUCAUUCUGUCCUUUCCCUUUUUGCUUUGGAGAGAAUUCCACAGCUCCCCACAUAUGCAGUUUGAGAGUUCAACUGUGUGUAGGCAAGUUCACAGGAAAUGGAAAGUGAUUUGAUCUGGGCAGGACUGAGUAGCAAAAAUGAAAGGUUAGAAAUGGGGAAAACCCAGGUUAAAUUAUAAAUUAUAAAAACUCGCAAACAUAAGUAAUUUGAACUUAAUGCACAAAUUGAACUAGCAGUGGUCCUACCAAGGAUGCUUUCUGUUUUAGCUCCGUCCACUGACCUGCCCCCAAACCACCCCAAAUACUAUCACUCUACACAAGAACUGUAUAUCAACUGUGUAAAUAUAUCCUCAAGUAAUGUUCUGUAGCCCAGAGCUGCACCCACACUCCUUCUACUCAUUUUUUUUCUUAUGUCAAAUUUGUCUUUUAGAGAUAUUCUGAAGCCACUAGUGGGAAUUAGCUACUGUCCUUCAGGAAGCAGAAUUGUAUAGUUGUGAUAGGAUCUUAGAGCCUACAAGCUAUAAUAUUUACUACUUAGCCCUUUACAGAAAAUAUUUGUUCUUUAUUGCACAAAGUUUAUAUAUAUUCAUUUAUUGCCUGAGUGCUUAUUAAACAGUUACUAUAUA